CAAAAAACACUGACUUAGAGUUUGGGAAUUAAUACUUAUUUUUUAAUUAACUUUUUUCUAAUUCUGACUUGGGGGGCAGGUUGCACACGCGCAGACUCCCCCGGAGGACCGUCAGCUGUUGAGUGCUCGCCCCUCGCAAUCGCAUGCGGAUUGGAAGUGUUUGUUUUGAUGUUGGUUUAGUGCAUUAAAACCAAUUCAAUUAAUUAACAAUAUUUGGGGAAUCAUUCGUAUUUAAUGCUGAAAUUAUUUCAUACCAUCGACUUCAACAUUGUGGGGUUCAAUGCAGUGCCUGUGUCAAUGUACAAUUGGAGGGUUUGGGAGAAAAAAAUACCCUGGAAGGCCAUCAACAAAGUCAAUGGGGAUGAGAUGAGCCAACAGACAUAAAGUUCUCUCUUCUGGAUAAUCCUAAGUCAUUCAGGAGUAGGCGGAAUUGAUGAACAUCACCCAAAUACCAGUGCAAACCAUAAUUUGGGAUGAUGGACCUGAUUGUUGUUGAAUCAGUAUCUCAUGUUCAGGAUGAGGAGAGUCCAUUGAAAGCACCCAGGGAAUGGGAAUCUGGAAGAUUGAGCCAGGGGCCAUUUCAGGCAGGCGAAGAAAAAUGAUUUAUCUUGGCCUGCACUUCUGAAUAUAAGGAAUGGGAAUCCAAUUGGACGAGAAUCCUUUGAACUUGUGAUGAAUACUACAGAGGAUAUAAUUUCGUCAAGUGUCAGGAAAUCGUAUUUAAUGGAUAUAUUUGCAAAAGGACUUCAAACCAGGGAAGCAAGCCCCCUGAGAGUAGCAGACGAUGCUACUCAAUAAAAUCGAAUAUUUUGGAGUUCGUUGCAAUCCGUAUCACCCUCUGGAACACUUUUAUUCCAAGUAAUCGUUGGACAAGCGUACAUUGGAAUCCUUCUGGAAUAAAUACUGGGUUAACACUAUGAGUUCAUCGAGUCACCCUACAAACGCUGGCAACAUCACUGGGCAAAUCUUCGGUUUCAAUUCUGCAAUAAAGAAAGAUGAUUUUUCUGUAUAAUUUUCAAUAAAAGUAAUUUUGAAAAAUA